CACAGUUCUGGAGGCUGGGAAGUCCAAGAUCAAGGCAUUGACAGGUUCACCUUGUGGUGAGUGUCCAACUACUGCUGGUAAAAAGUGCCUUGAAUGCUGCAUACUUUGGAGGUAAGGAACUCUGUAUCAUCACAUGGCAGAAGGUGAAAGGGUGAAAAGAAGUAAACUUUGUCUGUCAAGCCCUUUAAUGAGAGCACCUUAAACCCAUUCAUGAGGGAGGAGCUAUCAGGGCCUAAUCACCUUUUAAAGGCCACAUCUCUUAUGACUAUCAUAUUAUCAACAUCUGAAUUUUGGAGGUGGCACAUUCAGACCAUAGCACAGGCCCUGGAGUACCUAGGUGAGAAGAUCAGUGUACACUUCUGCUGACUGUUUGGACAUUGGCCAUCACUGUAAAAGGGCUGACCCCUGAGUGAAGCUCCAUGUCCUCCCAUUCUGUUCUAGAUGAUCAGAUUCCACUUAAAUGCAUUUUAAAGCUGAAUAACAGCAGGUUUUCUUCUUUAAUGUUAACACUCAUAGCACACCAAUAUAUAAAUAAAUAAGAAUAACCUGUCAUAUGCUUUGUAAUAUAGGUUCUUAAUUUUUAUUCUCUCUGAUGGUGAAGGUGUGAGCAGAAGAAAUCUGUGCCGAAAGAAUAGCAGAACUUAGAUAAAUCACAAACAUCCAGUAUUUUCCAAUAUUGGUUUCUCCUUUCCUCCAUUUUCCCUUCCUGGAAGACUCUACUGGAUGUCUUAGUGUACCUCAGAGAAUCCCAACAGAAGACAGCUGGUGUGUCUAUGUUAAGAUAAACUUAGGUGUUGUUAUUUACAAAGAUAUGAUUUACAAAG
rnacentral:lncRNA from 10 species